UACAACGCCAAGGAACUGAGAAUUUGCCUCCGUCGAACAGAAGAAAGGGAGGAGAGGGAGCUGGUGACAGCACAUGGGAUGGAGCCCUGGGCCUCUGAGAAAACCACAGCAGGAACAGGGCCGGCCACCUCUGGCCCGCGCUGGGCUGGGCUGCUGGUGACUGGGCUUCUCUAGUCUUCCGUCCGUCCAUCCCUGGCAGACUGACGGGCGCGGAGCAGUGAGCGCGCGGGCAGGACUGCAGGCCAGCUGGGCCCAGCCCCUGCAGCUUUGCAGGCUCCAGCAGCACGGGACGAAGUGCAGGUAGGAAGGUCUGUUCUAUCUCCUGCCUCCUGGAGGCA